rnacentral:rRNA from 1 species
CCUGCCCCAACAGGGGGGACAACCCCGGGAAACUGGGGCUAAUACCCCAUGUGAUCCUAAGGACUANAUGCCUAAGGAUGAAAUGGAGCAAUUCGCUUCGGGAGGGGCCUGCGGCCUAUCAGCUAGUUGGUGAGGUAAUGGCUCACCAAGGCNACNACGGGUAGGGGACCUGAGAGGGUGACCCCCCACACUGGAACUGAAACACGGACCAGACACCUACGGGUGGCAGCAGGUAGGGGAAUAUUGCUACAAUAGGCGAAAGCCUGAUGCAGCAACGCCGCGUGCGCNAUGAAAGGCCUUUAGGGUUGUUAAAGCGCUUUUUCUGGGGGGACCGAGAAAGGACGGUACCCCCAGGAAUUAAGUC